GAUGAACGCUGACAGAAUGCUUAACACAUGCAAGUCUUUGGCGAAUCUGUGCUUGCACCGGCUAGCCAAGGCGGACGGGUGAGUAACGCGUAAAGAACUUGCCCUGCAGACAGGGAUAACAGACGGAAACGACUGAUAACACCUGAUACAGUUGCCGGCACGCAUGUGCCUGGCAAUGAAAAGAGAUGCUGCAGGAGAGCUUUGCGUCCUAUUAGCUUGUUGGUGAGGUGACGGCUCACCACGGAGAUGAUGGGUAGCCGGCCUGAGAGGGUGAACGGCCACAAGGGGACUGAGAUACGGCACUUACUCAUACGGGAGGCAGCAGUGGGGUAUAUUGGAAUGUGGGGGCGACCCUGAUCCAGAAACUCUGUGUGGACGAAGAGGGUUUUGGGAGUGUAAAGUGCUUUCAGCAGGGAAGAAGAAAGUGACGGUACCUGCAGAAGAAGCAACGGCUAACUACGUG
rnacentral:rRNA from 1 species